CUGUCUCCUCUUUCAAAUCAGUGAAACUAAUCUCCCCGNNNNNNGAAGCGGGGAUACUUAUAUAAGACGAGAAGACCCUAUGGAGCUUCAAACCCAACUACACCCCUAACUCUAUAGCCCCUCAACCACACUGGCCCCUGUAUAGUUGAUUUUAGGUUGGGGCGACCACGGAGUAAAACAAAACCUCCAUAAUGAACGGGCCUACCCCCUUAUCUAAGAACCACACCCCCUAAGAAUUAGAAUACUAACAUAAAAUGAUCCAUUAUUUGAUUAAUGAACCAAGUUACCCUAGGGAUAACAGCGCAAUCCAUUUCGAGAGCCCAUAUCGACAAAUGGG
rnacentral:rRNA from 1 species